AUGAGAAGAUUGCAUCAUAAUAAUACAUUACCAUGGCUUCUGAUUGGGGAUUUGAAUGAAAUACAAUUCCUACAUGAGAAAGAAGGUGGUAAUCCAAGACCACAGCAGUAUAUGCACGCCUUUCAGGCAGCAAUUGAGGACUGCGAGUUGAGGGACAUGGAAUAUGUGGGAGACCAAUUCACGUGGUUUCGAGGCAGGAUUAGAGAACGACUGGAUAGGGGCUUGGUUAAUGAUGCGUGGUCCACUCUUUAUCCUCAUGCCGCAUUACAAAAUUUAAACUAUAAUAAUUCAGAUAAUAGACCCUUGUGUGUAGACACAGAGUAUUACUCGGGAGUGGCGGCCAAUGGUGCAGCCAGCAAGAAAUUCGAGGCGAGGUGGCUGCAUGAACAGUCAUUCUCGGAUGUCAUCGAGGAGGCGUGGAACACGACAAGCGCGGCUGCGGGACAAAAUACGGUCUAUGAAAAACUAAACCGCAUGCACGAUCAGUUCCAUGUUUGGGAUCAGAGCGUUUUGAAGAAGCCAAAAAAGACUUCGGAAAGCACAUAG
rnacentral:rRNA from 1 species